rnacentral:lncRNA from 1 species
CAGGGAGUCGCAGGAAGAGAGCCAACAUGGACUACUACGACCACAACUACUACGACGACUACUACAGCUACUAUUACAACAACAACUACUACUACAAAGAAAGACUACAACUGCAACUCUCUAGGAGCAUCCCCAGCAAAGCUCCAAGAAGGUAGAGACAGGAAGGGGCUGACAAAGCGGGGUAGGCAGGACGAUUGGCUCUGAUUGAUGGGGUGCAGGCUGCAGGCGUGAGUGAUGUCAUGGCCCUGAAACAAACCAACUCCGGUGGUUCGUUCGAUACCGUUUGUCGCAUCUCCACCGCCCCCCCUGCGAGGGAUUUGCAUGCCUUGGCCUGGCCUGGCCUUGGCUUGACUCGCCUUGGCUUUGCAUAGCUUGCUGCUGGGCCUGGCGAUGGCGAAAGAUCCGAUCCUUCUACACCCCCCCCCCCCCCCCGCCAAUCUCUUCCCCUCUUACCACCAGCAGCCGUAGGGGAGGCGCCUCUUUGGAUCCCACUUCUCUCGUGCUUACGCUGCCUUCGGUGGCUGUGUAUUCAAUGUUGUCACGCACACUUGUUUAGUCAGAUUUUAUUUGUUUUUCUUUUGACACAAAUGGGAAAGAUUGAUAUGAUAUAUAAGGUAGUGACAAUCUAUUUUAAGGAUAUAUUUAUUUUUAGAAGUCCA